UACGUAGGUGGCAAGCGUUGUCCGGAUUUACUGGGCGUAAAGAGCGCGCAGGCGGUCGUUCAAGUCGCGUGUGAAAGCCCCCGGCUCAACUGGGGAGGGUCACGCGAUACUGAUCGACUCGAAGGCAGGAGAGGGAAGUGGAAUUCCCGGUGUAGUGGUGAAAUGCGUAGAUAUCGGGAGGAACACCAGUGGCGAAGGCGACUUCCUGGCCUGUUCUUGACGCUGAGGCGCGAAAGCUAGGGGAGCAACAGG
rnacentral:rRNA from 1 species